AUUGAACGCUGGCGGCAGGCCUAACACAUGCAAGUCGAGCGGAUGACGGGAGCUUGCUCCUUGAUUCAGCGGCGGACGGGUGAGUAAUGCCUAGGAAUCUGCCUGGUAGUGGGGGACAACGUUUCGAAAGGAACGCUAAUACCGCAUACGUCCUACGGGAGAAAGCAGGGGACCUUCGGGCCUUGCGCUAUCAGAUGAGCCUAGGUCGGAUUAGCUAGUUGGUGGGGUAAUGGCUCACCAAGGCGACGAUCCGUAACUGGUCUGAGAGGAUGAUCAGUCACACUGGAACUGAGACACGGUCCAGACUCCUACGGGAGGCAGCAGUGGGGAAUAUUGGACAAUGGGCGAAAGCCUGAUCCAGCCAUGCCGCGUGUGUGAAGAAGGUCUUCGGAUUGUAAAGCACUUUAAGUUGGGAGGAAGGGCAGUAAGUUAAUACCUUGCUGUUUUGACGUUACCGACAGAAUAAGCACCGGCUAACUCUGUGCCAGCAGCCGCGGUAAUAC
rnacentral:rRNA from 1 species